rnacentral:rRNA from 1 species
GGUUACCGAAUUCAGACAAACUCCGAAUGCCAAUUAAUUUAACUUGGGAGUCAGAACAUGGGUGAUAAGGUCCGUGUUCGAAAGGGAAACAGCCCAGACCACCAGCUAAGGUCCCAAAAUAUAUGUUAAGUGGAAAAGGAUGUGGCGUUGCCCAGACAACUAGGAUGUUGGCUUAGAAGCAGCCAUCAUUUAAAGAGUGCGUAAUAGCUCACUAGUCGAGUGACACUGCGCCGAAAAUGUACCGGGGCUAAACAUAUUACCGAAGCUGUGGAUUGUCCUUUGGACAAUGGUAGGAGAGCGUUCUAAGGGCGUUGAAGCAUGAUCGUAAGGACAUGUGGAGCGCUUAGAAGUGAGAAUGCCGGUGUGAGUAGCGAAAGACGGGUGAGAAUCCCGUCCACCGAUUGACUAAGGUUUCCAGAGGAAGGCUCGUCCGCUCUGGGUUAGUCGGGUCCUAAGCUGAGGCCGACAGGCGUAGGCGAUGGAUAACAGGUUGAUAUUCCUGUACCACCUAUAAUCGUUUUAAUCGAUGGGGGGACGCAGUAGGAUAGGCGAAGCGUGCGAUUGGAUUGCACGUCUAAGCAGUAAGGCUGAGUAUUAGGCAAAUCCGGUACUCGUUAAGGCUGAGCUGUGAUGGGGAGAAGACAUUGUGUCUUCGAGUCGUUGAUUUCACACUGCCGAGAAAAGCCUCUAGAUAGAAAAUAGGUGCCCGUACCGCAAACCGACACAGGUAGUCAAGAUGAGAAUUCUAAGGUGAGCGAGCGAACUCUCGUUAAGGAACUCGGCAAAAUGACCCCGUAACUUCGGGAGAAGGGGUGCUCUUUAGGGUUAACGCCCAGAAGAGCCGCAGUGAAUAGGCCCAAGCGACUGUUUAUCAAAAACACAGGUCUCUGCUAAACCGUAAGGUGAUGUAUAGGGGCUGACGCCUGCCCGGUGCUGGAAGGUUAAGAGGAGUGGUUAGCUUCUGCGAAGCUACGAAUCGAAGCCCCAGUAAACGGCGGCCGUAACUAUAACGGUCCUAAGGUAGCGAAAU